rnacentral:rRNA from 1 species
AACGAACGCUGGCGGCAGGCCUAACACAUGCAAGUCGAGCGAGGACUUCGGUUCUAGCGGCGGACGGGUGAGUAACGCGUGGGAAUGUGCCCUUCUCUACGGAAUAGCCCUGGGAAACUGGGAGUAAUACCGUAUACGCCCUUUUGGGGAAAGAUUUAUCGGAGAAGGAUCAGCCCGCGUUGGAUUAGGUAGUUGGUGGGGUAAUGGCCUACCAAGCCGACGAUCCAUAGCUGGUUUGAGAGGAUGAUCAGCCACACUGGGACUGAGACACGGCCCAGACUCCUACGGGAGGCAGCAGUGGGGAAUCUUAGACAAUGGGGGCAACCCUGAUCUAGCCAGGCCGCGUGAGUGAUGAAGGCCUUAGGGUUGUAAAGCUCUUUCAGCUGGGAAGAUAAUGACGGUACCAGCAGAAGAAGCCCCGGCUAACUCCGU